rnacentral:rRNA from 1 species
GACGAACGCUGGCGGCGUGCUUAACAUAUGCAAGUCGAACGAUGAAGCCUAGCUUGCUAGGUGGAUUAGUGGCGAACGGGUGAGUAAUACGUGAGUAACCUACCUUUAACUCUGGGAUAAGCCUGGGAAACUGGGUCUAAUACCGGAUACGACCAAUCUCCGCAUGGGGUGUUGGUGGAAAGCGUUAUGUAGUGGUUAUAGAUGGGCUCACGGCCUAUCAGCUUGUUGGUGAGGUAACGGCUCACCAAGGCGACGACGGGUAGCCGGCCUGAGAGGGUGACCGGCCACACUGGGACUGAGACACGGCCCAGACUCCUACGGGAGGCAGCAGUGGGGAAUAUUGCACAAUGGGCGCAAGCCUGAUGCAGCGACGCCGCGUGAGGGAUGACGGCCUUCGGGUUGUAAACCUCUGUUAGCAGGGAAGAAGAGAGAUUGACGGUACCUGCAGAGAAAGCGCCGGCUAACUACGUGCCAGCAGCCGCGGUAAUACGUAGGGCGCGAGCGUUGUCCGGAAUUAUUGGGCGUAAAGAGCUUGUAGGCGGUUUGUCGCGUCUGCUGUGAAAGGCCGGAGCUUAACUCCGUGUAUUGCAGUGGGUACGGGCAGACUAGAGUGCAGUAGGGGAGACUGGAAUUCCUGGUGUAGCGGUGGAAUGCGCAGAUAUCAGGAGGAACACCGAUGGCGAAGGCAGGUCUCUGGGCUGUAACUGACGCUGAGAAGCGAAAGCAUGGGGAGCGAACAGG